GUGCCACGUGUCUGGGCCUCUGAUUAUUAGUGAUGGGAUUGAGGAACUGA
rnacentral:snoRNA from 1 species